CCCGCGCCGCACAGCCGGGCGCGGGGGCGGGCGGCGCAGGAGGUCAGGGGGCCGCGGCGGCGUCCCGAGCCUCGCAACCGCGCGCCGAAUGCAGUGUACUUUUGCAAAAGUUGUUUCAUUAUUAAAUGUGCUCCUGGUAGGAAAAUCGGAAGUGUAGACACAGACCUCCCACGGCCACUCCCCGCAGAGACGGGCGCUGCUGCGUGGGGCCCCGGUUCAGCCCUCUGUCGCCUACACUGGGGUCUGUGAAUCGCUUGCACCCUCUGAGAGCCCAGGCGCCGUCCGCUGCCCCCCUCUGGAGCCCCUUUCAGUUCACUGUGCAGGGCAGCGGGAGAAUCAACCACCGCUCCGGGAUGAUGUAGAAGCAGAGGCCUGGGAAACUACCAGGCCAACAUCACGCCUGCCCGAUGCCCACUCAGCACUGGCCACGAGGGGCCCACAGUCUGCCGGCGAGGAUGUUCUCCUUCUCUGGCUGGGAGUCUCCAGCCUCUUCAGGAAAGAAGCCGGAGAGAUCAAGAAACAGAACAUUCAGGCUCCCCAAAUGUCUCUCGUGCCCUCAUCCAGGAGCUACCAAUCCCCCCACUAUCCUGACUUCUAAUAGCAGGGGUGCCAGAAUGCGGUGGAAGUAACAGAGCGAGGUUCUCCGGGGAGCCCUGACAUCUCUAGAAAAAUCUGACUGCCCUGAGGCUGCCAUGCUGGGAGGAAGCCCAGGCCACAUGAAGAGGCCACGUGUACAUGUUGGGUUCUGUCCAACAGACGCAGCUGAGGCCCCAGCUGCUAUUAGCAUCAACUGCCAGAUAUGCGAGUGAAGAUGCCGCAGGAUGAUUCCAGACUCCAGUCCUGAGUCUUCCCAGCUACGGCUCCAGACACUGUGGAGCAGAGACAAGCUGUCCGGAUGCCCUGCCUGAAAUCCCGGCCUGUAGAAUUCAAUCCAUGAACACAAUAAAAUGAUUGCUUUAGACCACA